rnacentral:rRNA from 1 species
GACGAACGCUGGCGGCGUGCCUAAUACAUGCAAGUCGAGCGCAGGAAAUCGACGGAACCCUUCGGGGGGAAGUCGACGGAAUGAGCGGCGGACGGGUGAGUAACACGUAAAGAACCUGCCCUCAGGUCUGGGAUAACCACGAGAAAUCGGGGCUAAUACCGGAUGGGUCAUCGGACCGCAUGGUCCGAGGAUGAAAGGCGCUUCGGCGGCGCCUGGGGAUGGCUUUGCGGUGCAUUAGCUAGUUGGUGGGGUAAUGGCCCACCAAGGCGACGAUACAUAGCCGACCUGAGAGGGUGAUCUGCCACACUGGGACUGAGACACGGCCCAGCCUCCUACGGGAGGCAGCAGUAGGGAAUCUUCCACAAUGGACGAAAGUCUGAUGGAGCAACGCCGCGUGAACGAUGAAGGCCUUCGGGUCGUAAAGUUCUGUUGUAAGGGAAGAACAAGUGCCGCAGGCAAUGGCGGCACCUUGACGGUACCUUGCGAGAAAGCCACGGCUAACUACGUGCCAGCAGCCGCCGUAA